GACGAACGCUGGCGGCGUGCUUAACACAUGCAAGUCGUACGGUAAGGCCCUUUCGGGGGUACACGAGUGGCGAACGGGUGAGUAACACGUGAGUAACCUGCCCACAACUUUGGGAUAACGCUAGGAAACUGGUGCUAAUACUGGAUAUGUGCUCCUGCUGCAUGGUGGGGGUUGGAAAGCUCCGGCGGUUGUGGAUGGACUCGCGGCCUAUCAGCUUGUUGGUGGGGUAGUGGCCUACCAAGGCGGCGACGGGUAGCCGGCCUGAGAGGGUGACCGGCCACAUUGGGACUGAGAUACGGCCCAGACGCCUACGGGAGGCAGCAGUGGGGAAUAUUGCACAAUGGGCGCAAGCCUGAUGCAGCAACGCCGCGGGCGGGAUGACGGCCUUCGGGUUGUAAACCGCUUUCAGCAGGGACGAAGCUUUUUGUGACGGUACCUGCAGAAGAAGCACCGGCUAACUACGUG
rnacentral:rRNA from 1 species